CGUUGCGCCCACCCUACUCUUAUGGACCACCUCCUCACCUCGUCGUUGCAACCAUAUAAUAAUUAAAAUGCUAUGGAUUCCAUUCACACGCACGUUUGGACGUAUAAUGAAAUCCCCACCUCACCGUGCAUCACGUGGCCCAAUUUUCUCUUUCUAUUCUACUAAACGUCUACCCGCCAAUGAAGUGCGAAAGUCUGAAACUUAAAAAAAAAUUAUAUUUAUAAAUAAAUAGUUCAAAAUUAAUAAUUUAUAUUAUCAAGAGUAAUGAUAUGAACAACGGUCUAUGUAAAAUUGUUUGAUUUGCAUUAUACAUCUAUUUAAAAAAUAAAAUUUAUUAAACUUUCUUUCAUUUUCUUUAAGUUAAUACUUUUAUAUAGAAUGUUAAUUAUUGUUAAUUUUAAUAAAUUUAUUUAUGAAUUAAAAAACUUAAAUAUACAUCUGUUUGUGAAAAAUAUAAUCUUACAAUUGGGUUGAGAGUUAUUUUCAUUUAUAAUAAUUUAUUUGAGAAAUAAAUCGUCAACUCUCUUCAUUUAUGUACAACAUGACAAACCUAGACAGCAUUUUAUCUCUAUUUUCACCUUCCUUCUACUGCUUCCUGUUCCCAACCAUCGAAGCUAACUCCAGCGCUUGGUCCGAGGAUUGCGGGGAUGGAGCCAAAGGACUUCACCGGUGGCAAGAUUUCCAGCAGAAGAAGAGGCGGCUGGAUCAGCUGCUUCUUCAUUGCAGGGGGCAAUGAUAGGGUUCCAACUCUCCAAUGGAGGCUGGAUGUCGAACUUGAUUGUGUAUCUGACGGAGGAAUUCAAUGUGAAGAGCAUAGAUGCAGCUCAGCUUUCAAGUAUUAUCAGUUCUUUGGCCUUUCUUACUCCGGUGAUAGGGUUUUCAUAUAAAGUUAAGGAAAAAAAUUAGGCUUUUAAAAAUUAAAAAUAAACUGCAUUUAUAUUUAAGAAUACCUUAAUUUAGUCUUUUGGCACAUCACUUUGGUCAUCUUAGCCAAACAUUCAUGAUGGCGUACGUGUUGAGAAAGACCUUUAUUUUCAUUUGAAGUAAGAAUGAAUAAUGGUUGGGUGUCGUCAACCUAGCUUCUUGUGUCAUAUUCAACUGGGGGGCCAUAUAUAUAUAUACAGGACCUUUUAUGAUA